rnacentral:rRNA from 1 species
AAUGAACGUUGGCGGCGUGGAUUAGGCAUGCAAGUCGAACGCGAAAGAGGGGCAACUCUUCGGUAGCGUGGCGAAAGGGGCAGUAACACAUAGGCAACCUACCCUCAGGACCGGGAUAUGCGGUGGAAACGCCGAGUAAUACUGGACGUGGUCUUUGGGAGACAUCUCCUGUUGAUCAAAGGGUUUACUCCGCCUGGGGAGGGGCGUUAUGUCCUAUCAGCUAGUUGGUGAGGUAACGGCCCACCAAGGCGACGACGGGUAGGGG